AUUGAACGCUGGCGGCAGGCCUAACACAUGCAAGUCGAGCGAGCGGCGGACGGGUGAGUAAUGUAUGGGGACUGCCCGAUAGAGGGGGAUAACUACUGGAAACGGUGGCUAAUACCGCAUACUAUCGGAUAACCCAUAUGGGAUUAGCUAGUAGGUGGGGUAAAGGCUCACCUAGGCGACGAUCUCUAGCUGGUCUGAGAGGAUGAUCAGCCACAGUGGGAUGGGGACAGGGCCCAGACUCCUAGGGGGGCAGCGGUGGGGAACAUUGCAAAAUGGGGGCAAGCCUGAUGCAGCCAUGCGGGGUGUUGGAAGAAGGCCUUGGGGUUGUAAAGUACUUUCAGCGGGAGGCGUUACCCGCAGAAGAAGCACCGGCUAACUCCGUGCCAGCCGCCGCGGUAAUUC
rnacentral:rRNA from 1 species